CCUCACUACUUGGAUAACCGUGGUAAUUCUAGAGCUAAUACAUGCUAAAAACCCCGACUCCGGAAGGGGUGUAUUUAUUAGAUAAAAAACCAAUGCCCUUUGGGGCUCCUUGGUGAUUCAUAAUAACUCAACGAAUCGCAUGGCCUUGCGCCGGCGAUGGUUCAUUCAAAUUUCUGCCCUAUCAACUUUCGAUGGUAGGAUAGUGGCCUACCAUGGUGGCAACGGGUAACGGGGAAUUAGGGUUCUAUUCCGGAGAGGGAGCCUGAGAAACGGCUACCACAUCCAAGGAAGGCAGCAGGCGCGCAAAUUACCCAAUCCCGACGUGGGGAGGUAGUGACAAUAAAUACUGAUGCGGAGCUCUUUAGGGUUUCGCAAUUGGAAUGAGUACAAUUUAAAUCCCUUAACGAGGAACAAUUGGAGGGCAAGUCUGGUGCCAGCAGCCGCGGUAAUUCCAGCUCCAAUAGCGUAUAUUAAAGUUGUUGCAGUUAAAAAGCUCGUAGUUGAACCUUGGGCCUGGCUGACCGGUCCGCCUCACCGCGUGCACUGGUUCGGCCGGGCCUUUCCUUCUGGGGAGCCGCAUGCCCUUCACUGGGUGUGCCGGGGAACCAGGACUUUUACUUUGAAAAAAUUAGAGUGUUCAAAGCAGGCCUAUGCUCGAAUACAUUAGCAUGGAAUAAUGGAAUAGGACGUGUGGUUCUAUUUUGUUGGUUUCUAGGACCGCCGUAAUG
rnacentral:rRNA from 1 species